GGGGUUGUGGCUCAGAGGCAGAGCACUUGUCUAGAAUGUGUGAGGUACUGGGUUCGAUUCUCAGCCCCA
rnacentral:tRNA from 1 species